UGAGGAAUAUUGGUCAAUGGACGCAAGUCUGAACCAGCCAAGUAGCGUGCAGGAUGACGGCCCUAUGGGUUGUAAACUGCUUUUAUGCGGGGAUAAAGUUUGGGACGUGUCCCAUUUUGUAGGUACCGCAUGAAUAAGGACCGGCUAAUUCCGUGCCAGCAGCCGCGGUAAUACGGAAGGUCCGGGCGUUAUCCGGAUUUAUUGGGUUUAAAGGGUGCGCGGGCGGCGCGUCAAGCCGGUGGUAAAAUUGCGGGGCUCAACCCCGUAGAGCCAUCGAAACUGGCGUGCUUGAGUGGAGAAGAAGUAUGCGGAAUGCGAGGUGUAGCGGUGAAAUGCAUAGAUAUCGCGCAGAACUCCGAUUGCGAAGGCAGCGUACUAUUCUCCAACUGACGCUGAGGCACGAAAGCGUGGGGAUCGAACAGGAUUAGAUACCCUGGUAGU
rnacentral:rRNA from 1 species